rnacentral:rRNA from 1 species
CAUCGGAACGUGUCCUGUAGUGGGGGAUAACCCGGCGAAAGCCGGACUAAUACCGCAUAUGCUCUACGGAGGAAAGUGGGGGACCUGCAAGGGCCUCACGCUAUGGGAGCGGCCGAUGUCCGAUUAGCUUGUUGGUGAGGUAAUGGCUCACCAAGGCGACGAUCGGUAGCUGGUCUGAGAGGAUGAUCAGCCACACUGGGACUGAGACACGGCCCAG